rnacentral:rRNA from 1 species
UACGGAGGGGGCUAGCGUUGUUCGGAAUUACUGGGCGUAAAGCGCACGUAGGCGGCUUUGUAAGUUAGAGGUGAAAGCCCGGGGCUCAACUCCGGAAUUGCCUUUAAGACUGCAUCGCUCGAAUUGUGGAGAGGUAAGUGGAAUUCCGAGUGUAGAGGUGAAAUUCGUAGAUAUUCGGAAGAACACCAGUGGCGAAGGCGACUUACUGGACACAUAUUGACGCUGAGGAGCGAAAGCCAGGGGAGCAAACGGG